GGUCGCGCACCAGCCUCUCCUGUAGCUGGCAUUGCUUGACCUUGGACAGGUGACCUACCCCGUAGACCUGGGGGCCGCAGGAGGCUAGAGCUACGGAACCCACCGUGUCUUCCCGGUUUGAAAACACAUCUUGGUCAGAGAAUUUCCCUGGGGCCUCAACGUGGUUCGCGAAUUGCGAAGCCGCAGGCCCGGGUACGUUUCCGUGCGCCCGGAGUCACCUUUCAGCCUGCGAAGUAACUUUUACGACUGAUGUUUUUUCAACAUUACUAUGAGAAGGCUUCUUUCAGUGAAAAGUGUCCACCUAAGAUUUUUAUUACCAGUGGAUUUGACUGGCGACCGUAGCUAUGACAGCAGCAGGGCCACCCAUCUGCGGGAGGUCCAAGGGGGCACAGCAGCUCCUCACACCCUGAACUGGAGCCACCAAGACCAGCCUUCCACCUCCCAGGAGGUGAUCUGAGCUCUGAUGCGGAUGUGCUGACUCUGGGAAGCAGGGCUUCAGAAAAAGGGAGCGCGCCCAACUGACCAGCCCAAGAGGGACCUGCCUGUUACAGCAACCGUGGAUGUUGUCGCUGUGUUAAGGCUGAGCUCACUGCUCUCAGGCCGGCCCUCCUGGUUCUGCUCCACUGCUAAACCACUUUUCCUUUUUUGUAUGUGUUUCUAUGGCUGCUUUUGCUGAUUCACUCUGGCACACAAGAGAGGCUUAAAUGGCUGUGUGAUACGUUUGAGGCUCGUCCAAUGCUAAUCUUAGUUAUGUGCACCAGAUUGCCCCAAGUUCUAAUGUUUGCUUAAUUUGCUUUUCUCUGGGUGAGAAGAAAAGAGAGACUCACUCAAACACUGUUAAGGAAACACAGGUUUUCUUCUUUCCCCCUUUAUCCCUGAACUGCCUUGUACGGUCCUUUCAAGUGGCUUAUGGAAAGGAUUAAAAGUGAAGGGUGAAAAAAGACAAACAGAAGCUGUUUCUUUUGUCAGCCUCUGAAGUCCCACGAACAGACUGAAAGUUCAAUCGAGGUCUGUGAAAAUAUUAGCAGACGCCAAAAGGCCAGCGGCCAGGAUUUGUGUCUUUGUGCAAGAACUGAAUAGCUACCAACAGCUAGAAAAUUUUCAAAAGCUUGGCAGUGAUGCAACAGUCCUAUGAAAAAGAGAGUGAGAAAGAGAGAAACGUUCUUAAAUGAUUAGAUUUAUAAGCUUGUAUGAGAAUGUUCUCUACAGACCCUAAAGCCGCUUGAGCGUCUUAGGAAACUGAAAUAUUAAGACUUAGAGAUGACAUUUACGUAUUUUUUAACGAUGCUAUUAGUAAUAGUGGCUGAAAUAAAUCUGACUUGAAAUUUUUGGUAAGAGUUAUGCAUAAUCAUUAGUCAAAAUUUGUUUACAACAAUCAAAACAUGUAAACUUCUGGGAUAAUUCUAUUUUUGAGUUAUUCAGAAUGUUAAUCGCAUGACAUCUUAACAAGAUGGAAAUUUUUUCUCGGCAGUGAACUUUAUUAAUUACAUUAAUGUAGUCAUGAUUAGCCCUUAAUGAUUUAAUGCUUCUGUAUAUUUAAAUUGGAAGUAUAUCUACUUGAUUCAUCUUUCUAAAAAGAUAUUGGUCAACCUAGCUAAAGCUGUAUAAAGUGAAUUUAAACCAAUAUCAAAAGUUGGAAGUGCUCUUUAUAAAGUGGGAUUUUCAUUUUUAAGGUCAAAUAUAAGUGACAAAAAUAUGAUUAUGGCAAAUAAUUGGAGCUCUAUUAACUAAUCAAAUUAUAAAAUGUGUAAACGCUUCAAAAAUUCUUAGUCAAGGAAAAUUUCCUUUUAAUAAGUAUAACCCAUCGUUUUAAUUUAUGUUUAUCAGAAAUUAAUUUACUGCUGUUAUUUCCUUAAGGACAACUUUUCUACUGAAUCAAGCAUCUUACUAGAUACUAGACUGUGAGGACAUAAAAUAAACAGUAGAGGGCGCUUUAGUUCGCUAACAAAAUAAAGCCAUUCCUAAAACCUUUCUACAUCGGUAGAACAGACAGUGGGAAGAUUUCAACUGUCUGGUAAAGGUUAAACAAAGAUGGUAAAGCAACUCCUCUGCUUUGAGUAAAUAAUAAAUGCAAAUUCGUGAGCCCAUCAUUUCAAGAGUAUUUCAUUUAGAAGACCUCACAUUUAUUUGGAAAUUGCCUAAUCUGUUAAAUGUACUUGAUUGAAAUCAGUAAAUUCUCAUUAUUCAGGAUUUUUAAGAAGCAGACUGCUCUCAAUACGUAAGAAGGAGCACUGUGAAACUAUUUUUCUUGUAUGUUGGUUCUAUACACACUAACAGUUAACUUUAGUUAUGUGACUUAAUCACAAUUUCCUUCAAAAUCAUCUUUAGCAUCAUCAUCAUCAUCAUCGUCAUUUCAAGGCAAGAUCCCUGCUUUCUAGUAGCUUCUACUCUAUUCUAGCUGAAAAAAAAUAAAAUCAGUGAAAUAGCAAACAAAAGAGAAGACAAUGCACAAUUAAAUCUAAAUUGUGUUGUUCAGUGUGUGUGACCCCAGGCAAGUCGUUAUCAUUCCCAGGCGCUCAGUUUUUACAUUUUACAAUGAGGUUCUCACUUGGUGAUCUGACUAAAACACCGUCAUCCACUCUUAUUUUGUAUACUGUUCUAUCAAAUUUGGUUCACUUGUACUCAAGCUCUCAACAGAUUUACCAUGGUUCUGAGCCUUUUGGGGUUCAGACUCACUUGAAAAUAUUCACAGACAACUUGGGGCUUCUCCCCUGCAAAAAAAAAAAAAAAAAAAAACCA